UCAUGUUGUUUUCAAUCAAAAAAAAUAGGAUUGAUUGCUAUUUCACAAUUAAAUAUGAUUUAAAAAAAAUAACUUGGAAUUAUCUGCCUUCCUUUAUCAUCAAAUGUCUACAAAAGGAGUUCAGAUUCUCUCAUCGCAUCUAUCCAAAUCCAUAGUCUCUUCUGACCUCAAUGUCUUCAUGCAGGAAGGGGACUUCACGAUACUCACUAGAUCCAGGAGUCUCUUCAACUUGGCUGUGUCUCUGAACCUCUUCAGGAAACAGAGUUGAAUAAGCCCUAUGAGACUUCUCUGUGUUCUGAACAUGUCUGGUGUGUUCUCUCUGCUGAUUUACAUCAUUCCAUCCACUAAAUGGAAUAAACCUAUGUGAAUAAAAACUCAGUCUGGCUUUCAAUACCAGAAUAAA